rnacentral:lncRNA from 1 species
GUCCUCGCGCGUGUGUCUGCCGUCGCCUCCUCCUCGCGGAGCGGAGGGGCUCCCACUUGUGAAACGGCCAGCACGCGCGAGGCGCCCCGCCGCAGCCGGACCCGGACGGGCUGCUGUGCAUGUGCUGUCCUCCCCUUUUUCUAAAUUUUUUUUAAAAAUUUAUUUAUUUCCAGUUUAUUCUGGGCCUGUGUGGAAUAGAAAGACAGUUCUCUGCCUGACUGGAGGAGAGAAAAGAGAAGACUCCUCGGGGUUUCCAAGGAGCAAUGGAGCGGCUGCUUCAGAUGUAAAAGAUAGAGGGAACCACAGAAAAAAAUCAUUUCAUCUGUUUCGCAUUGUAAAGAGGAAAUGGAGGACUUCAACUGUGAAAAAACACAAAGCUAAGAAUCAUCCUUCCAUUUUUACACUGAGGUUUUCAUAUACCAAUUUGGUUGUAUUUGGCAAGAAAAUACAGACAGUGCUUUCAACACCUGUGAGUGCAUUGUCAAUAACUCCACUGAUGGUGUGGCACACAAUGUACUUCUCUAAAGAAAUCUAAUUAUAGAAAAUGGAAAUAAUUGAGCUGAAUAAAGUAAAGUUGAGGUUGGCAUGAAACCACUGUGUAUUUAACAUUCUUUCUUGUGAAACUCCUCUCCGCAACUCUGUGAAGGUGUAGAAAGGUAUAAGGUUCACAUUUCUUUCCAUCCUGCACCAUAGGUCAAGCCAUUUUAUUGUAGAUGAAAAUAAUUAUGUAUUCAUAGUAAAGCUGUAGGCAGUUUUUCACUGCAGAUUACAGAGAGAUAUUUCUCUAAUACCCCAAAAUAGAAAGGUUAGAAACAUUUUUAACUAUUUAAAUUCUGUAUAACUUAUUUUUAUGGAGAGGUUUUUACUGUACUGUAUUUUGAAAAGUACAUCUGACAUACAUAGCUUCAAGUAAAUCUCUCAUGUAAGUAUGCACCUUCCCAUGGAAUAUUUAAAUUUAUAGUUUUAUGUCCAUGCUGUAAUCUUUUCUUUUUUCAGAAUUAAAUUUCUGGCUUUCUUUGCAAACCAAGUUACAUCACUGAGUUGGAUUCAUUUACAUAUGACUUUUCAUGGAUUUUUUAAAUCUGUGAAAUAUGUUAUUUUUGUUAGCUCAGGUGUUAAAAAUAUCAAAAAUGGAAAAAAAUCAGCUGUUAUCCUGAAAAGUCUCUGAUUUUUUUUCAUUUUUUUGAUGUUUUAAUAUCAAACCUUUACUCUUUCACAAUAUAUAUUGUAUCUUGCAGAUUUUAUUUAUUGGUUUAUUGAAAGGAACAGUUAAUGCUUAAAUUUUUUGACCAAUUUGGCAUUGCUUAUAUCUGGUGAUCUGAACAACUAAUUUGAAGACAACAAUAUGCAAUAUAACAACCAUUGUUGAAUUCCUACCAUCUUGUUUAGUGAAGCUCUGUAUUGUUUCUAAUGCUUUUUUAUUACUUUUUAUUCUCUUUAAUUGUUUGAUCAAUCUUACAUUUUUGCAUCAGGUAAUCUGAGCAACUUCAUUGAAAAUAAUGAUGUAUAAUAUAGCCACCAUUGAAUUCCUAUAUCCUUGUUUUGUAAUUCUGUAUAAUUUUAUUGAUUUUGUGUGCUAUUGUUUUUGUCAUUGUUAUUUUUUUUCCUCUUUAAAAUAAAAAAGGAAAAAACCCAAAAAUUAAAAAAAAGCAAAUUUUACCUUGUUGUGAUUGUGGAGUACAUGUUCUUCAGAUUGUACUCAUAGAGUUUAAAGAUAUUUUAAAUAUCUGUGUGUUUCUUCAAAGAGUAAAAAACAGAGAAAACAUUUCAUAUUUUCAGGUUUAGUGUAUAUAUCACAUUGUUAGAUAACAUGGUAUGAUGUAAGAUUUUUUUUUCACCACAUUUCCAGCUGUUAAAUUCUUUGAGUUUGAGGUAUUUGUUUUCUAACAUCCCUCUAGAAAAAUGUACAUAUUUUUCCUGAGUUGGUUAAUAUGUUUCUCUUUUGAUAUUUAAAGUUGAAUUAUUAGUCAUAUAAAUGAACCACCUCCUAGCCAGUUAAAUUUAAGUGACAGCAGAAUGUGUAAGAGUCAGAGAGUAUAUGGUAUUAUCUAAAAACGGAUUCCUUCAGUGGAGAAAUUGUAGUGAACAAGAUAAGGACAAAAGGUGUUAACAAAAUGAUUAUUAAUUUACUAUUUUUAGAAUAUGGUCAAAUUUUAAAUGUAUAAUUGUUUUACUGAUUUUGUCCUCCUAUUCAUUUCUUUUUAAAAUUUAUUUUAAAAAUAGAAGGAAAACAUUAACAAACAGACAUCCAUUUACAAAAUAGCAUAAGGGCAAUACAAGCAAUACAGAGUUACAAAGUGGUAGGAAAUUAACAAUGGUUGUUUUGUUGUUUUUUUUUUUUUUGGUUUUUUUUUCUCCGGUACCGGGAACUGAACUCACGACCUUGCGCUUGCCAGGCAGGCGCUUUUGCCGCUGAGCUAAAUCCC